rnacentral:misc_RNA from 1 species
GAAUUCCGUGAAUCAUCGAAUCUUUGAACGCACCUUGCGCUCCAUGGUAUUCCGUGGAGCAUGCCUGUUUGAGUGCCGCGAAUUCUCCCACCCCAAACGGUUGCCGAAAGGUACUGUGCGGCGGAGGGGUUGGAUGGGUGCUGCUGCCUGUAGCAAACUACAGGCUCGCCCGAAAUGCAUUAGCGCCUCAGGACAAUCUUCGCUACUGCUCUACAAAGGGAAGAGCAGCGAAGCGUAUGGAGGGAAAACCACCACCGGUUAUUCCAAACCUCGCCUGACUGUUUGCGCAUGGCAUGAUACGUCAUUUGCUGUGUUGCGUUAGGUUGGUGCGUGGGACUGUGUGAGUGCCUCUAGAGCUUUGAGAAGUUGUUUCGUGUGCUACGAACUGAAAAGUACAUUC